CUACCAAGAUCCAGAUUAGUUUGAGUGUAUUGAAUCAAUUUCUGACUUCAUUACCUCUAACCACUUCUCAGAGUCAAUAUCUAAUAUCGCCUCAUUAUAGAUCUUGGGGUCAUCUCUAUAUAUCUUAUUUUUUAUGAGAAAUAUUUUCUCUACAUUCUCUGAAAUAAUACCUAAGUAUCUUUCAAGAAGAUGAGAAACCCUACUAGACUUACGAGGUGG
rnacentral:lncRNA from 1 species